rnacentral:rRNA from 1 species
GACGAACGCUGGCGGCGUGCUUAACACAUGCAAGUCGAACGGAAAGGCCCCUCUUUUGUUGGUCGCUUGAGUGGCGAACGGGUGAGAAAUACGUGAGUUACCCUCCCCUUACUUUUGGAUUCCUUCAGGAAACUGGGGUCAAUAACCGAUAUCCGUUCCUGCUGCUUGGUGGUGGGUGGAUAGUUUCGGUGGUUGGGGAUGGGCUCGCGGCUUAUUAGCUUGUUGGUGGGGUAGGGGCUUACCAAGGCUUUGACGGGUAGCCGGCCUGAGAGGGUGACCGGCCACAUUGGGACUGAGAUACGGCCCAGACUCCUACGGGAGGCAGCAGUGGGGAAUAUUGCACAAUGGGCGGAAGCCUGAUGCAGCAACGCCGCGUGCGGGAUGACGGCCUUCGGGUUGUAAACCGCUUUCGCCUGUGACGAAGCGUGAGUGACGGUAAUGGGUAAAGAAGCACCGGCUAACUACGUG